UCUGCUCAAUGUAUUAUAAAUAGCUGCAGUCUCUGUACUAAGGUAGCGUAAUAACUUGCCUUUUAAUUGAAGGAUAGAAUGAAUGAGGAACCWAGGGAGAAACWGUCUCUACCUAGUUAAUAAAAAUUAAUCUAUAGGUGAAAAAGCCUAUAUAAAAUAAAAAGACAAGAAGACCCUGUUGAGCUUUUACUAAAAUUAAAAUUUUAGGUUUUGUUGGGGCAACAUAAAUUUUAUMCACCAAUUAUAAAUAUUAAGAACAUAUUCUUUCUAACUAUACUAUUAAAUAUAAAAAUAAUAAAGUUACCACAGGGAUAACAGGCUUAUUUUCUUUGAAAGGUCUAAUCAAUAAGAAAGUUUGGCACCUCGAUGUUGGCUUAUAGUUUCUUUUAAAAGUAGCAUUUUAAAUAGGUGGUUU
rnacentral:rRNA from 1 species